GCACCGCGCGCUUUGAUCCGCCUGCUCUCCCUCCUGGCCGGGCGGGCCAGCAGCGCGCGUCCCGGUGGCGCGCCGGGCCCGCCCCGCUUUGAUCUCUGUCCCCCGGCUGUGCGGCCUCCACUGCGGCCACUGCGUGAGAUAACAAAACAGCAGAGAAUUUGAAAAACCUGGGAGAGUACAAAUGAAAAUAAGAAAUCUUUCAGGCUCUCACAGCGCAAACCACGGCCGAGAGCUCGGCGUCGACUCUCGUCUUGAGUCUUUUUCUGGUGAAUAUAUGUAUUUUUCCGUAAUCGGAAGGACACGGUCCAUACACCUGUAAGCACCUUAACAAAAUAACUCUCUUUUUCUGGCUGUAAAGCGACACGCGUUAGUGCAGAAAAUUUGGACAAUUAAAAACAUACGAAGAAGAAAAUAAAAACAACCUGAUCCCAC